rnacentral:rRNA from 1 species
CCUUUAGAGUUUGGAUCCUGUCUCAGGACGAACGCUGGCGGCGUGCCUAAUACAUGCAAGUCGAGCGGACAGAUGGGAGCUUGCUCCCUGAUGUUAGCGGCGGACGGGUGAGUAACACGUGGGUAACCUGCCUGUAAGACUGGGAUAACUCCGGGAAACCGGGGCUAAUACCGGAUGCUUGUUUGAACCGCAUGGUUCAAACAUAAAAGGUGGCUUCGGCUACCACUUACAGAUGGACCCGCGGCGCAUUAGCUAGUUGGUGAGGUAAUGGCUCACCAAGGCGACGAUGCGUAGCCGACCUGAGAGGGUGAUCGGCCACACUGGGAGUGAGACACGGCCCAGACUCCUACGGGAGGCAGCAGUAGGGAAUCUUCCGCAAUGGACGAAAGUCUGACGGAGCAACGCCGCGUGAGUGAUGAAGGUUUUCGGAUCGUAAAGCUCUGUUGUUAGGGAAGAACAAGUACCGUUCGAAUAGGGCGGUACCUUGACGGUACCUAACCAGAAAGCCACGGCUAAAUACGUGCCAGCACCCGCGGUAAUACGUAGGUGGCAAGCGUUGUCCGGAAUUAUUGGGCGUAAAGGGCUCGCAGGCGGUUUUUUAAGUGUGAUGUGAAAGCCCCCGGCUCAACCGGGGAGGGUCAUUGGAAACUGGGGAACUUGAGUGCAGAAGAGGAGAGUGGAAUUCCACGUGUAGCGGUGAAAUGCGUAGAGAUGUGGAGGAACACCAGUGGCGAAGGCGACUCUUUGGUCUGUAACUGACGCUGAGGAGCGAAAGCGUGGGGAGCGAACAGGAUUAGAUACCCUGGUAGUCCACGCCGUAAACGAUGAGUGCUAAGUGUUAGGGGGUUUCCGCCCCUUAGUGCUGCAGCUAACGCAUAAGCACUCCGCCGGGGAGACGCACGG